CGAUCCAGCAUCGAUUAUUUUUUCAUUCAAGCAUAGUUCGGAAGCAAGUAACAUUGCACUAGGUACAUCUCUAUGGCGCAUGCGCGCUGGACCGCAAGAGAGGCGCGCCGCUGCGCCGCCGGCGCGGCGCCAUGACCGCCAUAUUGAAUUUUCCGCCGAAAAGUUUGCCGCUAUUUUUUAAAAGUAUUUUUGUUAAGUCUUUACAAUACAAAACAAACAUCUAUUAUAAAUUAUUAUGUUUGUGUUUGCAAUAUGCAAUUGUAAAAUCGAUAAGGUGCUUGUGUUGACAACAAUAAAGAAAAUGAACAAUCAAGCACACCCAUAAACUAAACAUGAAACGCUGGAUACAAGAUGUUAAUUCCUCUCUGGGACAACAAUACUAAAACGACCAUCAGACCACAUAGUUAUACCUACAUACUAACUAGAAGGAUAAUCCAAAUAAGAUGCAGAAAUGAAAUCAAGCAAUUGUGUAUAUUGGUGUCAGAAAAAUUACUUAACCAGUGUGUGUUGUGUGUGUUAUUCACCGAAAUAAAGUUUUACGUGCAUAAAUUUAUUUCUUCUUUCAUAAAAAGUAAUAGUACAUAUAGUAGUAAGUAGGUAUAUAGUUUCUUAAAGUCAGGCAUAUUUUUCAGAUAAAAGGUAACCUAGGUAUUACUUGUUUUUUCCUGUAACAUAAUAGGUAGUUAAAUAUUUGAGCUAUGUAGAGACCACUUUAAGUAAAAUAUUCAUACAAGUUGAAAGGGGUAAGUAGAGAGUUAGAUAGGUACACAGGUAGGUGAGUUAAAGUUAAGGUGUUCCUCAUGUAUGUGGAGCUGGUCCGUUUGGAAGAGGAAAGCCGAGGUGUUAAGGCUAGAGUGUAAUUCCUGAAGUAGAUCGGUAGGUGUGUUGAUUAAUUAUUAGAUCUAGAACAAUAACUUAAGUUGUUUUUAAGCAACCCGGUUCAUGCCUACCUUGUCAGUAACACGUUUUUCAGUCAUUCAAUCCUAAAAUCAGAAAUAAUAAUAUGCCAAAACAGAGUCACUUUCACAUCGUAGUUUCACAAAAAAUAUUAAGUUAGCGUCGUUGCAAUUAGCUUUACAUGCUUAAACAACAAAUCAGCUCCAAGUUAAAUCCAUAUUUAUGCACCUACAACAACAAUUUCCCAUAUAUUUCACGGUUUUACUUUUAGAAAUUUUUGUAGAAUUUUAACAGGCACCUGUUUAGACCCCUUUUAAAUUUAGGAAGAAAGUUGCUAAUUUUAAGUUGACAGCGCUAAAAAUGGCACCUUCAGAAUACCAAUUCGACCAUCUAACCUAAGUUGAAUAGUUUUAACGCUGUCAGAUUCAAAAUUUAAAGUGACGUCUCUAAU